CGGGUCGGCUGGACGGUCGCGUGGCGGGAGACCGCACCGAGGAACGUCCGGGCUCCGCAGGGCAGGGCGGUGGGUAACACCCACCCGGAGCAAUCCGCGAGACAGUGCCACAGAGAGAAGACCGCCCCGCAAGGGGUAAGGGUGAAAGGGUGGUGUAAGAGACCACCGGGGGCCGUGGUGACACGGCCCGCCAGGUAAACCUCGCCCGGAGCAAGGCCAGACAGGGGAUGUUGACGCGGCUCGCCGAGUCCCCGGGUAGGCCGCUGGAGCGGCGCGGCAACGCGUCGCCGAGAGAGAUGACCGUCGAAGGGAUGCCCCGAGAGGGGCCCCGGCACAGAACCCGGCGUACAGGCCGGCCCGUUCC
rnacentral:RNase_P_RNA from 2 species